rnacentral:lncRNA from 1 species
GAAGCCAAAUUUAAUCGAACUGGUAUCCGGGUUUCUGGAACCGAAUUGGGAUUUGGGUUUCUCGAUAAAAAGUUGUUAAGUGAAUUGCGAUUCAGGUAGAAUUCAUAUUCAGUCAAUUGAAAUGGGAUUUUAGUUUCUUGAAAGAAAAAGCAUGAGAACUCCAUAGCCACAAGCGAAUUGGGUUUCGGGUUUUUGAGAUAAAAAGCUUCGAAAUUUUAUAUUAGGAUCUUAUCUGUUGAGGGGAUGACAGGUGGGUGUAGUAUCGUAUGGUUUAGGAGAGAUCUGAGGGUAGAAGAUAACCCUGCUUUAGCUGCUGGUGUAAGAUCAGGUAAAGUGAUACCAGUGUUCAUAUGGGCACCCGAAGAAGAAGGUCAUUAUUACCCAGGAAGGGUAUCAAGAUGGUGGCUUAAACAGAGUUUAUCUUUGCUUGAUUCAUCUUUGAAGAAUCUUGGAACUUCUCUUAUCACAAAACGAUCUUCCGAUAGUGUUUCUUCUCUUCUUGAUGUCAUUAAAUCCACUGGUGCUACACAGCUCUUUUUUAACCACUUAUAUGGUUAGUCUCUCUACCUUCUUUUAUUCGUUCAAUUUAUGCACUUUUGAUUUAGAUCUUGGUAUGAAAUAAGCUUAAUUUGGUGUUUUGAUGUGUUGUAGAUCCAUUAUCUCUGGUUAGGGAUCAUAGAGCGAAGGAGAUUUUGAGUGAAAAUGGGAUUAUAGUGCGUUCAUUUAAUGCGGAUUUGUUAUAUGAACCAUGGGAAGUUCUUGAUGAUGAAGGUCGACCUUUUACUACAUUUGCAGCGUUUUGGGAAAGGUGUCUUAGCAUGCCUUAUGAUCCUGAGCCUCCUCAGCUUCCACCUAAAAGAAUAAUCUCAGGUUAUUUUCUUUCAUUAUUUGGAUUUUAGGGCAUAUAUUUAUCUACAAUUUUUAGUUUUUUGUUUUGUUUUGUAUGUUGGAUAUGGAGUAAAUUUGGAAAGAAAACUAAUCAAUGGUCCUUGGUGUCUAGAUGUGUGCUUAAACUUAUUAUUGCAACUUCAAGUGGAUUAUGAUUAUAUGAUUAUUUAGAAUCAAAAUAAUCAUAUUUGCAAAAAGUUGUGAAUAAUUGCUAACUUAGACAUAGAAAAUGGAUAAAAUAUAGAAAACCAUUUGUUAUUUUGUCAAUUUAGUCACCCAACUUAAAACGGUUAUACUUUUUUUGUAACUGUUUAAGAAAAAAACAGAUAGACAAAAAAAAUCAAUUACCUAGUUUUGGAAAAUGCCAAAAUAUAGGACAUAUACACAUAUACACCGUGUGAUCAUGAUUUUAUUGAUAUAGCUCCUUUUAUUUCCAUAUUGAUUUGGCCACUAAUAUUAUUAUAAUAACUAUAUAUAAGAUUUAUUAUACUUUUUCGAAACUGUUUAAGAAAAAAACAAAAAAAAUUCAAUUACCUAGUUUUCGAAAAUGCCAAAAUAUAGGACAAAUACACUGUAUGAUCAUCAUUUUAUUGGUAUAGCUACCGAACUUUUAUUUCCAUAUUGAUUUAGACACUAAAUAUUAUAUAUAAGAUUGGUUAUACUUUUUUUACUGUUUAAGGAAAAGAACAAAAAGAAUUCAAUUAAAUAGUUUUGGAAAAUGUCAAAAUAUAAUAACUAGAUAUAAGAUGGAUGCUAUUAUAUGUAUCUCCUCAUUCACUAAAUGGUCACAUAAUAGGGAUACACAAACACUAUUAUAUUCACAUGGGGGCACGAUAUAGAAAUUCUCUAUAAGAUUAGUGAAUAAAUCAAUAAAAUGGUAAAAUUAUGUUUUAUUAUUAUUAUUAUUAUUAUUAUUAUUAUUAUAACAUUUUUCAAAACAUUUAUGAGUUGCUCGACCCCCGGUCCGAAAAUGGGCAAAGUUACAAAGUGGCACUUUGACUUCUGUCGUUUCUUUUUCGGUUUAACCAUUUUCUAAAGUAUGAACCCAGUAUCUUUUUUUUUUUUAAAUCAAAUUUUGUGGUUAUGGAAAAGUUUGGAAUCUAGGAAAACAAAACUUAUUUUCUAUAGUUUUUGAUUUAGUCUUUGAACUAUUAUUUCUUAGGAUAAUAAUUAUAAAUGAAUAAAAGUUUCAGUGGUAAAAUGAUGAAAAUACAUUAUAUAUUUAACAUUUUUCAAAACCCAAAGGAAAAAGAUUUUUUAAAUGUUUAAAAAUAUAAUAGUUUAAUGACUACUGUUAAUUUUUUAACUAUUUCAUGUUAGUUUUUAAAUAUUUGAGUAAGUUGAUAAACAUUGUAGUAAUGCAAAAAAAAAAAAAAAAAUGAAAGACAAAUAAUUUAUAUAGUUCACACAAUUAAGAUGAUCGGCUAUGUUCAUGCUAUGAGAGAGAGGUUUUUGCUGAAUGACUUUUUGAAACAUUAGGUAACAUGAAUUUAGGGGAUAUAUAUGUUUUUUUGACCUAAAAUUGUCAAUAAGACCAAUCCGAAAACUCGGACAAAUCUUACCCAUGACGAAAUCUGAAGGUGAUUUUGAUAUAGGAACUAGCCCAUAAAAGAUUUGUUUCUUGGACGUUGUCCCACAACAAAAAUUUUGACAAAUCUAGCUUGUGCCGAAAUUCGAGAGCAUGAUUUUAUUGCUUGGUCUACCUAACUGUUAUAGAGAAAAAUGAUGAAUCAGUCACCACAACUUAAUAAUCUAUCACUUGGAAGCUAAUGAAUAAAAGGGUGUUUGGAAUUACUUUUCAAAAUGAUUUUUUGAACUUUUGGCUUUUUCAAAAAGCUAAAAGUUUGAAAAUAUGUUUGGCAAUUCUAAAAGUCCUUUAGAAUGAGUUUUUACUAAGAAGAAAAAUAAAUGAUUUUAAAAGUUAGGAAUAUGUAACUUUUGGUUUUUUAGCAUUCGCUCAUUCAAAAGUUAAUCAAAACAUAUUUUAAAACAUUAUAAGACAAAAAGUCAUUUUGUUAAAAAGAACUUUUUUAAGCUAAAAAACAAUGUCAAACACCCCCAAAAUAUGUUUACCAUCCAAAUUAGAACUCUGUAACAUCCAUCUUUCUGUGGUCCACACCUUCUCUUCAAAUACCUAGAAGUCUAGUUGAAGUCAUAUACACUUUCAACUUCUUUGUAGUCAAACACAUUGGUAAACAUCUUUUUUAGAUUAUUCGUACCAAUGAUUUUUUUAUUAGAUUUAGAGUCCUUAUUACUUGAUCUACCUAACAACUACUGUAAACAAUUAAACGGCUAAAACUAUUAAAUAAUAAAUAUAUUUUGUGUUUGUCCAUAUUUUUUCUUAUUGAGGUAAAUGUAAAAUAAGAUGCUUAAUAGUUUUGAAUGUUUGUUCAGGUGACGUGUCUAAAUGCCCUUCAGACACGUUAGUUUUCGAAAACGAAUCAGAGAAAGGAAGCAAUGCACUUCUAUCUCGAGCAUGGACGCCGGGGUGGAGCAAUGGAAACAAAGCCCUAACAGCUUUCAUCAACGGGCCAUUACUACAUUACUCCAUUAACCGGAGGAAAGCCGAUAGCGCCACCACUUCCUUCCUUUCCCCCCACCUCCAUUUCGGUGAAGUUAGCGUCAGAAAAGUCUUCCACCAAGCUCGAAUCAAACAAAUCCUCUGGGCAAACGAAGGUAACAAAUCCGGUGAAGAAAGCGUUAAUCUGUUCCUCAAAUCAAUCGG